CCUCCUCCUACGAACUUCCUCAGUCCCUCCUCCUCCUACGAACUUCGUUUCUUCAUGAUUUCCUCUCUCCUUCCUGCAGUUAUGCUCUCAACCUCUCACCAUAUGUACUAGAUUCGCAGCAACCUGAAGAUUCAUGAUAUCUGGUCGAGGAUUGGAUUCUCUAGCAAGAUGUAGAUGGUAGGCUCAGUAUGUUGUUGAAAUGGCUGCGAAUACUCAGUUGGUUUUCCUGGAAAAAUAUUCAUUCAAUUGAGAAACAAACACUGUGUUCUUCUUCAAUGGGAAGGUGGAAAAUCGGACUCCAUAUCUCUUCAAGGAGAUACAGACUUGGAUCAUGAAGAGGUUUCAUGCCAAUCCAAG